ACUUCCGCAGUGUAGAAAAUAUUUUCUCGCUGAUAACUUGUAUCAUAAUCAUUUUCAGUCCUAUUUAUUCUUAUUCUAUACUUUGUAUUAUUUAAUUUAAGAUUUAGUACAUUAAUAGUGUGUAAAUAAAGUUAUAUUAAACUGUGUUGGUGGGAAGUUCUUUUAGACGCGGUCACGUUGAACUCUGUCAAGAUUUUUUGGAGCUGCUGUUUGAGUAAACGGAAAAGUUGAUAUGUAGGUUAUUAAAAACUUUUAAUGCACCCAUGUAAAACUAGAAUAUUCAGUUCGUACGAUAAGGAACUUAACACUUCCAAUUUUAGUUUGAAUCAUUCUGUGACCGCUAAUUAAAGGUAAUCGAAUAAGCGAUUAUGGAUUAGAGUUUCAAAAGAACUACUUCUACAAGUUUUAUGCCCAACAUAUGCAAUUUGCCAUCAGGACAUUUUUUAAUCCAAACUAUGUUGCUUGGAAGUAAAAAUAUAUAAACAACUAUUUCUGUGCCUCUUAAUCUUUUUAACUAGUUUCAUAUAUGAUAUUGGGUUCCACGAACGGCUGGGUCUACGUCCCAGAGCCUCUUAUCAACCAUGACGACCAAGUGUCAUUCACCACCCCCCAAAGGAAUUUUACAAACAUUUAUGAUGUCAAGAUUGAAUCCGUUGGUGUUACGUGAACACAGUACGUAUGUAUAUUAUUGUAAAUAUAACAUACACAAAAAAUACAA